AAACGCCUCCCGAGAAAGUUUGCUUUUUAUUUCCACGCUAACGAACGGCGCUCUAAACCCCGCGGAAUAAACGCGCAACGCCGCGACUCGUUGUAAAUCCGGCGUUUGGUGUCAGUGAAACGCCCCGUAAAUAGUGCGAAGUUCAAGGGCGCUUCGUUAAGCGCGCGCGCGCGUGUUUACCGGGCACUGGAAAAAAAAAAAGGGCCACUUCAAUUGGAAACACUCUAUUAAGAUACAGUCGCGCUGACCUUUGGUUUCAUGCCACGUUAGAGCAGUCAAUUCGCUCUUCGUCGGAAUCGCUCAUAUUUUUUGUUCCCGAAUCUUUGAAAUCCCUCGCGCGCGUUAACGUUUAAUUCGGAAAUAAGCGCGCGCUCUGCCCACCCUUUGUCCGCGGACUAUUAUUUGCUCAAGGAAAGAAUGAUCUUCUAUUUAUUUAAAACAAGUGCCCCUUUGAAUAGCGCAAAAUAAACACGGUGAAAAAUAACCAAAGAGAUAGUCCCCUCGGACUGAAAAGGGGGGACUUCAUAAAAGCUGCAGCAGUCACAGCUGAAUGGGAGACGCUUUGAAGUAGAACUUAUUAUCUGAGGAAUACUUUUCGGUCGUCUUAACGACGCUAUUGAAUCGAAAAGCUACCCCCUUUGUCAGCGAUUUGUUCUCCUUUAGUGCAAUGCCCGUGGAAAUCACUUACAUGGUCUACCUUAACAUGCAGCCUGCAAAUCAGUAACUCCAAGAGUCAGACUCUCAGACGCCACUUUUCAAAAGACAAAGCAGAAGUCAGUGUGAAAACGCAGCGAGUUCUCUGCCGUUUUGCCUUUAUUGGACAGAAUGAUCACAUCAGAGGAGGCCGUUUACUGCGGUCUAGUCAGAUUUCACACCGUCAGCUUCUCAUUACGCGUUUGACGAGGGUUCAGGGCACCCGAGCCAUCGCGCGCCCCGUUUUAAGCGACGCACCGGGACGAAAAGAAAACAUUAAACUUUGCCGUACUUUCUCUUAUCAGCAAAAAGCGCGCUUCGCACUAUCUGCUCGAGCGUCGCGCGCGCGUUCAAUCCACAAAGUCUCAGAGGUAAACCACGGCGCUAAUGGAAUAUACGAGUGUCUGUUCGAGAGAGACAAGUGCGACAAACACUAAAUGGCACGAAUAUGAUUCCAACAUCUUUUUGAAUGAGUUGCGCGCGCUUGUUAAAAUUUAUUUGAGUUCGGUCGACCUCUAAGCUGAGGAUAAUUAAUAUUGUACACUUUGCCAACCAGGUGUAAGAACACAUUUAUUUUUAUAUUUGUUUUUGUAUUUUUAUCAGUAAAAAAAGCUAUCCUAAAAUUUGUGAAACCGCCUACAGUUUUGAAUCUAUUUUUUACAAUAAAACCAUAAAUGAGUAUAACAUUUAAUACAUAAAAUAUGUAACCUUUAAUAAAUUUGAAGUCGCAUUAUGCAAUUAAAAACGAGACGUUGUUAUAAUAUUAGUCUAGCAUACUUUUUUUCUCUUUAAGAGAGAGAGAGAGAGAAUAGAGAGGUAAGAAAACGUUGCACGGAUAAACAUUUUAAAAGCACCAAACGAAACUCUUCUCUUCUAAACCGUUUCAAAAUAAUAACAACUUGAAGUAUGCGAGGUAUUGUAAACAUCCGUUGAAGUGUUUUACCACAGUAUGCUUUGAAGACCAAGAAAACUGGGCACAUAUUCAUUCUCCAGGCACUCUGCCAAACUCUUCCAAGCACCCUACCUGCCUACUAUCUUAAGUUUCCCGAAUAAGUGAGAAAACACAAUCCAGUUGCAGCUGCAGGGCUGCGUGUUUCCUCCCUUGCGCUCCGAGACUGAACUCUAAAAGGCGGACAAGAAAACUUUUGACGCAUGGGCGAAAACUCAUGGGGUGUUUAUACAGUGCAACAUGCUGAUCCAUUCCACAUCUGACGGACUACCAUGAGCAACACAUCAGAGUCGUGCCUCUGAAUACAGCAUCUUUCAUAGAGGAAAAGGUCAACAUUCAGUGAGAGGAAAUCAUCCUGCACAGCUGGACAACCGCAAUGCUGGAUCAUCUCAGUAAGAGAAAAGAAGAGAGAGCGAGUACAAAUAUACAACUCUCAAGCGUAAGGAGUAGGAAGAGAAGAACAGUCAAACAGCCAAAGCCCUCAAAAAGCCAGCCCACUUCUACAUUACUGUACUUUACAACUCUGAUGGUUAGAUUAAACGCCUCCUACCUUAAGUAUACAGUCUUUUUUUUCCAGUAAAGACCUAAUCCAUCCUUAAUAAACCUGUAAGCUCACCUACAGAAUCCCCUGCACUGCCCCUAGCGCGUCACCAGUCGCCAGAACCCCCCCCCGCUGGACUCGCAAGGGUGGCUAGAUGUUCUUAAACAUCACAAGCCACUUUCUCUGUUUCAAGCUGACCUUGGAAUGGCCAUUAGACAUGGCUUUGAACUACUGGAACUAUCUCUCAUAGACCAGUGUCAAGGGUCCCCCUGAGUUGAUAAUGACUUGCUUUCAUAACUGCUGUGACAUUUUGUGAAGGUACGCUAGGCGUGCUCACAGGCCAUAUCUACAGAAUGCAAUGCUUCCUUUCCCCCUCAGCAGGUGCGAAUCUGAGCUGCAUAGUCUGCGAUUUACAGUGCUGUGUUUGCGCAUCCUGGAAUAAGUAUAGGCCCGGGCCCACGCGUAUGUCCGGCCUUGAUAAGCAUUUCGGCUCGCUACAGCGUGGAUACAAACUCAGGCUUAUACAGAAGAUUAGUGACUGUACAGCGGCGAUGUUUGCUUUAAAUAUCACUGCCACGGUUCCUUGAUGAAGCUAUUUCCCAUAUGCCAUGCAAUCUCUCAUUUGCUUCUGCUUGUGUUGUUAUUUCCAAAUCAGAAAAAUGAAUAAAUGCAUCGCAGCGGAUAAUGCCUAUUUCAAAUUUAAAAAGUAAGAAACUCCGUUACGUACUGUACUAUUGGUUUUAGUUCGAAAAGGUCUAAUAAAACCGAUUUUUAAAAGCC